rnacentral:tRNA from 1 species
GCAGACUAGAGCAGUGGUCAGCUCGCAAGGCUCAUAACCUUGAGAUUGGUGGUUCAAUUCCACCCUCUGCA